rnacentral:rRNA from 1 species
UGUAAGCGUAUACCAAAGUUGUUGCAGUUAAAACGCUCGUAGUCGGAAUUUGGCAGUUCCGGAAGUGUGCACGUCGUGUGCGCACUUUGCGGGGACUGCUUUUGUGGUCUUGCGUAGGAUGAGGCACUUUCAUUAGUGAACGUCCUCACGCAACCACUCUUUACUGUGAGAAAAUCAGAGUGCUCAAAGCAGGCAUUUGCCGUGAAUGUAUUAGCAUGGAAUAAUAGAAUAGGACUCGGUUCGAUUUUGUUGGUUUGUUGGGACUGAGUAAUGAUUAAGAGGGACAGUUGGGGGCAUUUGUAUUCCGGCGCUAGAGGUGAAAUUCUUAGAUUGCCGGAAGACAAACUGCUGCGAAAGCGUCUGCCAAGGAUGUUUUCAUUGA